rnacentral:rRNA from 1 species
UGGGGAAUAUUGCGCAAUGGGCGAAAGCCUGACGCAGCAACGCCGCGUGAAGGAUGAAGUAUUUCGGUAUGUAAACUUCGAAAGAAUAGGAAGAAUAAAUGACGGUACUAUUUAUAAGGUCCGGCUAACUACGUGCCAGCAGCCGCGGUAAUACGUAGGGACCAAGCGUUGUUCGGAUUUACUGGGCGUAAAGGGCGCGUAGGCGGCAAUUCAAGUCAUCUGUGAAAUCUCCGGGCUUAACUCGGAACGGUCAGAUGAUACUGCUUUGCUAGAGUGCAGAAGGGGCAAUCGGAAUUCUUGGUGUAGCGGUGAAAUGCGUAGAUAUCAAGAGGAACACCUGAGGUGAGGACGGGUUGCUGGGCUGACACUGACGCUGAGGCGCGAAAGCCAGGGGAGCAAACGGGAUUAGAUACCCUGGUAGUCCCUGAGCGGGCUGGCAAGGCGCAU